rnacentral:rRNA from 1 species
UUAAGUUAUUAAGGGCGCACGGUGGAUGCCUUGGCACUAGAAGCCGAUGAAGGACGUUACUAACGACGAUAUGCUUUGGGGAGCUGUAAGUAAGCUUUGAUCCAGAGAUUUCCGAAUGGGGAAACCCAGCAUGAGUUAUGUCAUGUUAUCGAUAUGUGAAUACAUAGCAUAUCAGAAGGCACACCCGGAGAACUGAAACAUCUUAGUACCCGGAGGAAGAGAAAGAAAAUUCGAUUCCCUUAGUAGCGGCGAGCGAAACGGGAAGAGCCCAAACCAACAAGCUUGCUUGUUGGGGUUGUAGGACACUCUAUACGGAGUUACAAAGGACGACAUUAGACGAAUCAUCUGGAAAGAUGAAUCAAAGAAGGUAAUAAUCCUGUAGUCGAAAAUGUUGUCUCUCUUGAGUGGAUCCUGAGUACGACGGAGCACGUGAAAUUCCGUUGGAAUCUGGGAGGACCAUCUCCUAAGGCUAAAUACUCUCUAGUGACCGAUAGUGAACCAGUACCGUGAGGGAAAGGUGAAAAGCACCCCGGAAGGGGAGUGAAAUAGAACCUGAAACCGUGUGCUUACAAGUAGUCAGAGCCCGUUAAUGGGUGAUGGCGUGCCUUUUGUAGAAUGAACCGGCGAGUUACGAUUUGAUGCAAGGUUAAGCAGUAAAUGUGGAGCCGUAGCGAAAGCGAGUCUGAAUAGGGCGUUUAGUAUUUGGUCGUAGACCCGAAACCAGGUGAUCUACCCUUGGUCAGGUUGAAGUUCAGGUAACACUGAAUGGAGGACCGAACCGACUUACGUUGAAAAGUGAGCGGAUGAACUGAGGGUAGCGGAGAAAUUCCAAUCGAACCUGGAGAUAGCUGGUUCUCUCCGAAAUAGCUUUAGGGCUAGCCUCAAGUGAUGAUUAUUGGAGGUAGAGCACUGUUUGGACGAGGGGCCCCUCUCGGGUUACCGAAUUCAGACAAACUCCGAAUGCCAAUUAAUUUAACUUGGGAGUCAGAACAUGGGUGAUAAGGUCCGUGUUCGAAAGGGAAACAGCCCAGACCACCAGCUAAGGUCCCAAAAUAUAUGUUAAGUGGAAAAGGAUGUGGCGUUGCCCAGACAACUAGGAUGUUGGCUUAGAAGCAGCCAUCAUUUAAAGAGUGCGUAAUAGCUCACUAGUCGAGUGACACUGCGCCGAAAAUGUACCGGGGCUAAACAUAUUACCGAAGCUGUGGAUUGUCCUUUGGACAAUGGUAGGAGAGCGUUCUAAGGGCGUUGAAGCAUGAUCGUAAGGACAUGUGGAGCGCUUAGAAGUGAGAAUGCCGGUGUGAGUAGCGAAAGACGGGUGAGAAUCCCGUCCACCGAUUGACUAAGGUUUCCAGAGGAAGGCUCGUCCGCUCUGGGUUAGUCGGGUCCUAAGCUGAGGCCGACAGGCGUAGGCGAUGGAUAACAGGUUGAUAUUCCUGUACCACCUAUAAUCGUUUUAAUCGAUGGGGGGACGCAGUAGGAUAGGCGAAGCGUGCGAUUGGAUUGCACGUCUAAGCAGUAAGGCUGAGUAUUAGGGAAAUCCGGUACUCAUUAAGGCUGAGCUGUGAUGGGGAGAAGACAUUGUGUCUUCGAGUCGUUGAUUUCACACUGCCGAGAAAAGCCUCUAGAUAGAAAAUAGGUGCCCGUACCGCAAACCGACACAGGUAGUCAAGAUGAGAAUUCUAAGGUGAGCGAGCGAACUCUCGUUAAGGAACUCGGCAAAAUGACCCCGUAACUUCGGGAGAAGGGGUGCUCUUUAGGGUUAACGCCCAGAAGAGCCGCAGUGAAUAGGCCCAAGCGACUGUUUAUCAAAAACACAGGUCUCUGCUAAACCGUAAGGUGAUGUAUAGGGGCUGACGCCUGCCCGGUGCUGGAAGGUUAAGAGGAGUGGUUAGCUUCUGCGAAGCUACGAAUCGAAGCCCCAGUAAACGGCGGCCGUAACUAUAACGGUCCUAAGGUAGCGAAAUUCCUUGUCGGGUAAGUUCCGACCCGCACGAAAGGCGUAACGAUUUGGGCACUGUCUCAACGAGAGACUCGGUGAAAUCAUAGUACCUGUGAAGAUGCAGGUUACCCGCGACAGGACGGAAAGACCCCGUGGAGCUUUACUGUAGCCUGAUAUUGAAAUUCGGCACAGCUUGUACAGGAU